CACGUAGGGCGCAAGCGUUGUUCGGAUUCAUUGGGCGUAAAGGGUGCGUAGGUGGCGUGGUAAGUCGGGUGUGAAAUUUCGGAGCUUAACUCCGAAACUGCAUUCGAUACUGCCGUGCUUGAGGACUGGAGAGGAGACUGGAAUUUACGGUGUAGCAGUGAAAUGCGUAGAUAUCAAGAGGAACACCUGAGGUGAAGACGGGUUGCUGGGCCGACACUGACGCUGAUGCGCGAAAGCCAGGGGAGCAAACGGG
rnacentral:rRNA from 1 species